rnacentral:rRNA from 1 species
AUUGAACGCUGGCGGCAGGCCUAACACAUGCAAGUCGAGCGGAUGAAGGGAGCUUGCUCCUGGAUUCAGCGGCGGACGGGUGAGUAAUGCCUAGGAAUCUGCCUGGUAGUGGGGGAUAACGUCCGGAAACGGGCGCUAAUACCGCAUACGUCCUGAGGGAGAAAGUGGGGGAUCUUCGGACCUCACGCUAUCAGAUGAGCCUAGGUCGGAUUAGCUAGUUGGUGGGGUAAAGGCCUACCAAGGCGACGAUCCGUAACUGGUCUGAGAGGAUGACGAGUCACACUGGAACUGAGACACGGUCCAGACUCCUACGGGAGGCAGCAGUGGGGAAUAUUGGACAAUGGGCGAAAGCCUGAUCCAGCCAUGCCGCGUGUGUGAAGAAGGUCUUCGGAUUGUAAAGCACUUUAAGUUGGGAGGAAGGGCAGUAAGUUAAUACCUUGCUGUUUUGACGUUACCAACAGAAUAAGCACCGGCUAACUUCGUG